AUUGAACGCUGGCGGCAUGCUUUACACAUGCAAGUCGAACGGUAACAGGCCGCAAGGUGCUGACGAGUGGCGAACGGGUGAGUAAUGCAUCGGAACGUGCCCAGUCGUGGGGGAUAACUACUCGAAAGAGUAGCUAAUACCGCAUACGAUCUAUGGAUGAAAGCGGGGGACCGUAAGGCCUCGCGCGAUUGGAGCGGCCGAUGUCAGAUUAGGUAGUUGGUGGGGUAAAGGCUCACCAAGCCAACGAUCUGUAGCUGGUCUGAGAGGACGACCAGCCACACUGGGACUGAGACACGGCCCAGACUCCUACGGGAGGCAGCAGUGGGGAAUUUUGGACAAUGGGCGCAAGCCUGAUCCAGCAAUGCCGCGUGCAGGAAGAAGGCCUUCGGGUUGUAAACUGCUUUUGUACGGAACGAAACUGCUCUGGUUAAUACCCGGGGCUAAUGACGGUACCGUAAGAAUAAGCACCGGCUAACUACGUG
rnacentral:rRNA from 1 species